GGGGGGACACCGAUCUCGGGGCCGGAACACCCCAAUCCUAACUCUCCAGAUGAACGAGCAACCGGGCUGCUGGUUCCCGGUCACCGACGCACACACGAAAACCGAGCCCAGACCCACCGAGGGCAGCCUUCCCGUACCUUCCUCCCCUGCCCCGGGGCUCCCCCAAGGCCCCACCUCCCCCCCGGCAGCCGAGCCCUGCCCGGGGCUCCUCCACGUACUUUCGCCUCCUUGAAGUUUGGGGCUCUCCGGGCGGCCACGAGCCGCCCCGCCGGCGUUGAGGACCGCUCCGUUGUUGUUUUCCUCAGGCGCCUCAAGCCCGCGCCCCAGCUCCGUGCCCCCUCAGGCGGCGCUGCCCGGGCGCCGAGAGGUGCUCGCCUGCAAACGCAGCCUGGCACCGGCUGGCCUACUCCUCCCCAGCCCGGCCCCCAGCUCGCGCUCGCCGGGCAGCGCCGCGCGCCCCCCCGGCCCGGGCCCGCCGCCGGCGCGGCGGCCGCGACCCUCGGCCCGACCUCUCGCCACCCAAAGUUUUGGCUGAGGGGAAAGUGGCCCGCGAGGCGCCGGCCGGUGGCGGCUCGGGCUCCGGACGCGCGGGCUCCCCUCGCCUUCCUCAAGUCCACCCUACCGGCUGCCGCCGCCGUCGCCGCCGCCGCCGCCGCUCCUGCCGCGGAGUCCUCGGGCUGCAGCCCCGGCGGCUCGCAAUUUAGGAGAUCCUUCGAGCUGCAGUGAGAGUCAUGCUGCGUGGUAAAUGUGAAGAAAUACAACUGAAGAAAUACACACCUUUUCAGGAUGAAUCUACAGGUAUGUCACAGAAGGCAACAUUCCAGUUAACAACUUUAAUAGAAAAUGGGCCUGGAGGCUGAGAUGGUUCCAUCUUCUCUCUUGAUCGUGGAGGCUGCUCUGAGUAGUUGGUCCCAGAGCAAAGAUUAUACACAUAGAGUGAAACAGAUGUGGAGUUUUAAGUUCUGGAUCCACCCCUUAUCAGUUGUAUAGAUCUUUUUUGUUUUUUUUGUUUUGUUUUGUUUUGUUUUGUUUUGUUUUUUUGGUUUUUCGAGACAGGAUUUCUCUGUAUUGUUUUGGAGCCUGUCCUGGAACUCACUCUGUAGACCAGGCUGGCCUCGAGCAGUUGUAUAGAUCUUGGCAAGCUGACUGUCCUCACUUUCACCACUUGUAAAUUGAAUAUAAUAGUAGUUGUAGUGAAAAAUACAAGGCAGUAGGUACAAAGCCCUUAGCAUGAUCCUCAGCAUGUGGUAGUGCCCCUGUUCUUUGGCAUUCUGUAAUUCUAUUGUUGCAAACUUUUUAUGUAUUUUCUCCAAGUGUUUUUAAAAAAUUAAUACUGUAAUAUGUCAAGAUGUUCCAAAUGCCCUAUUACUCAUUUUCUCAACUUCACUUAUUCAACAAAUAUUCCCCAAGUAACUAUUAUGUUCAAAGAUUAUUCUACCUUCUUAAAUCAGAGAAGCAAACAAAGGAAGACAGCAGCCAUGGAGCUUACGUUGCAGAUGAGAGAGUAAAUACAAUAGACAAUAAACACAGUCAAUAAGUUAUUUCCA
rnacentral:lncRNA from 1 species